UAAGUCCAGACGUUCCCAAGUAGCUGAUGCCAUAACGAGUGGGCUCUUCCGAUGUGAACAUGAUCACCUCCAAUGUUCUUUUGGGCUUGAAACCAGACCUAUGAAACAGCUCAGUGAGCACAAUACAGUCAAAAUAUAGCUGUAUAAAUCUAGUUCUUUGUGAUAAAAUCAAAAUGAAAGUUGUGUUCCUCAAAGUUUCUAUACUUUCCAUUCAUGCAAAUAUUUCAAAACUAAUCUAGUCAUAUAAACAUGUUUGUUAAGACUACGACCCCAAGAAAGACAUAUAUUUUUCCCUCCUAGCUGAGUUCCAUUCAACAUCAGUAAAGCCUCCUCUGCACAAGCCUCCUAAUUAGUAUUGAUGUGUGCAACAGAUGAAGAUGAAUAUGAUACGAAUGGGGAUGAAGGCCCUGUUCGAGUGCUAACAGGUAUGUGGAUCUAAACCAGAUAGGCAGUGCAGGUGGAUCCUCUCCCACCAAAUAAAUCCAUCGCAUUUCCAAGCCUUGGCAUGCUUUCAGGAAGUCACCAACGGAUAUUUCCAAGAAAAGAAAUAUGUGUUUCUUUCAAAGUGAUUUUGGGUGUUAUUCUCCACGCAUUUCGCAAAUGAUCAAGGCAUUUAUUGUAGAAGGUCAUCAAAUAAGUUUCCUACUAGCUAGAUAGACAGGAGAGGCCUAGCCAAUCAGAGCUUAGCUGUGUCAGUUGUUGCAAGCCCAAUGACACCAGACCUCAGUUUUUCGAGUGUGUUCCUUGUAGUACUCUAUGUCUA